AGUGAACGCUGGCGGUAGGCCUAACACAUGCAAGUCGAACGGCAGCACAGUAAGAGCUUGCUCUUACGGGUGGCGAGUGGCGGACGGGUGAGGAAUACAUCGGAAUCUACUUUUUCGUGGGGGAUAACGUAGGGAAACUUACGCUAUACCGCAUACGACCUACGGGGGGAAGCAAGGGUACCUUAGACCUUGCCCCUAUGAAUGAGCCGACGUUGGAUUAGCUAAUUGGCGGGGUAAAGGCCCACCAAGGGGACGGACCGUACCUGGGCUGAGAGGAUGAUCAGCCACACUGGAACUGAGACACGGUCCAGACUCCUACGGGAGGCAGCAGUGGGGAAUAUUGGACAAGGGGCGCAAGCCUGAUCCAGCCAUACCGCGUGGGUGAAGAAGGCCUUCGGGUUGUAAAGCCCUUUUGUUGGGAAAGAAAAGCAGCAGGUUAAUACCCCGCUGUUCUGACGGUACCCAAAGAAUAAGCACCGGCUAACUUCGUG
rnacentral:rRNA from 1 species